rnacentral:rRNA from 1 species
GGGUCAGUAGGUUGGUCGUGCCACCGGUACGUACUGGUCUCACUGAUUCCUCCUUCCUGAAGAACCGUAAUGCCAUUAAUUUGGUGUUGCGGGGAAACAGGACUGUUACUUUGAAAAAAUUAGAGUGUUUAAAGCAAGCUAACGCUUGAAUACAUUAGCAUCGAAUAAUGAAAUAGGACGAUCGAUCCUAUUUUGUUGGUUUCUAGGAUUGACGUA